AGGAAGGCAGCAGGCGCGUAAAUUACCCAAUCCUGACUCAGGGAGGUAGUGACAAGAAAUAACGGACCGAAGCCUAUGUUUCGGGAUUGCAAUGAGUAGAAUUUAAACCCCUUUACGAGGAUCAAUUGGAGGGCAAGUCUGGUGCCAGCAGCCGCGGUAAUUCCAGCUCCAAUAGCGUAUAUUAAAGUUGUUGCAGUUAAAAAGCUCGUAGUUGGAUUUCUGGGAGGGUGCCAAUGUCGUCAUGUGAUUGUGCAGCGGCGCCCUUCCAUCCUUCUGUUAACGUUUCUGAUAUUCAUUUAUUGGUCUCGGGCUCAGAUAUUUUACCUUGAG
rnacentral:rRNA from 1 species